UGGUGAAAAGGUGAAAGGUAAGAAUAAAUGAGAUAUUGUUAGUAGUGGGUAGUGUCCCAAAAUGAAUAGAAAGUUAUUUGAGGAUAACCCAAAAAGAAAAUAUAUAAAGUUAUUUGGGGACGGAGAAAGUAUUUAUUUAAAGAUUAAAACUUAAUAAAAUUCUCUCUCAUCUUUUUUUUUUUGUUGAAUAAACCUAUUUUCCAAUUCUCUUUUAUUUUUA
rnacentral:lncRNA from 1 species